rnacentral:lncRNA from 1 species
GCGGUGGCAGUUGUUCCCUCUAGCGACGCGGUGGCAGAUGUUUCCCUCUAGCGACGCAGUGGCAGAUGUUCCCUCUAGCGACGCGGUGGCAGAUGUUCCCUCUAGCGACGCGGUGGCAGAGGUUCCCUCUAGCGACGCGGUGGCAGAUGUUCCCUCUAGCGACGCGGUGGCAGAUGUUCCCUCUAGCGACGCGUGGCAGAUGUUCCCUCUAGCGACGCGGUGGCAGAUGUUCCCUCUAGCGACGCGGUGGCAGAUGUUCCCUCUAGCGACGCGGUGGCAGAGGUCCCCUCUAGCGACGCAGUGGCAGAGGUUCCCUCUAGCGACGCGGUGGCAGAUGUUCCCUCUAGCGACGCAGUGGCAGAUGUUCCCUCUAGCGACGCGGUGGCAGAGGUUCCCUCUAGCGACGUGGUGGCAGAGGUCCCCUCCAGCGACGCAGUGGCAGAUGUUUCCUCUAGCGACACGGUGGCAGAUGUUCCCUCUAGUGGCGUCGGUGGCGGAUGUUCCCUCUAGCGACGCGGUGGCAGAUGUUCCCUCUAGCGACGCGGUGGCGGUUGUUCCCUCUAGCGACGCGGUGGCAGAUGUUCCCCCUAGCGACGCANAACCGAGACACCUAGUGAUGCUGAGGUCGACCACCUUAGCAAUUAGGAGGUAGACCAUGGCGGGUUCUCUAAGCGUGUUACGGAGGCCUUUCCUCUUAGCGUUUCCUUCGGGAGCUGACCCCCCCUAGUGUUUUGGAGGCUGACCCUCCUAGCGAGUGGAGGUGACCCUCCUAGCGAGUUGGAGGUUGAUCCCCCUAGCGGGUUGGAGGCCN